rnacentral:rRNA from 1 species
CGGGUGAGUAAUGUCUGGGAAAUUGCCUGAUGGAGGGGGAUAACUACUGGAAACGGUAGCUAAUACCGCAUAACGUCGCAAGACCAAAGAGGGGGACCUUCGGGCCUCUUGCCAUCGGAUGUGCCCAGAUGGGAUUAGCUAGUAGGUGGGGUAACGGCUCACCUAGGCGACGAUCCCUAGCUGGUCUGAGAGGAUGAUCAGCCACACUGGGACUGAGACACGGCCCAG